rnacentral:rRNA from 1 species
UGGGGAAUAUUGCACAAUGGGCGCAAGCCAGAUGCAGCCAUGCCGCGUGUAUGAAGAAGGCCUUCGGGUUGUAAAGUACUUUCAGUCGGGAGGAAGGUGGUAAGGUUAAUAACCUUAUCAAUUGACGUUACCGACAGAAGAAGCACCGGCUAACUCCGUGCCAGCAGCCGCGGUAAUACGGAGGGUGCAAGCGUUAAUCGGAAUUACUGGGCGUAAAGCGCACGCAGGCGGUUGAUUGAGUCAGAUGUGAAAUCCCCGGGCUUAACCCGGGAAUUGCAUCUGAUACUGGUCAGCUAGAGUCUUGGAGAGGGGGGUAGAAUUCCAUGUGUAGCGGUGAAAAGCGUAGAGAUGUGGAGGAAUACCGGUGGCGAAGGCGGCCCCCUGGACAAAGACUGACGCUCAGGUGCGAAAGCGUGGGGAGCAAACAGG